CAGUCGCCGCGGUAAAACGAAGGGGGCUAGCGUUGUUCGGAAUUACUGGGCGUAAAGGGCGCGUAGGCGGCCAUUCAAGUUAGAUGUGAAAGCCCUGGGCUCAACCUAGGAAUUGCAUUUGAUACUGUUUGGCUUGAGUUCGGGAGAGGUGAGUGGAAUUCCCAGUGUAGAGGUGAAAUUCGUAGAUAUUGGGAAGAACACCAGUGGCGAAGGCGGCUCACUGGACCGACACUGACGCUGAGGCGCGAAAGCGUGGGGAGCAAACAGGACUAGAUACCCCUGUAGUCCCUGUCUCUUAUAA
rnacentral:rRNA from 1 species